rnacentral:rRNA from 1 species
ACGUGAGUAACCUGCCCUUGACUCUGGGAUAAGCACUGGAAACGGUGUCUAAUACCGGAUACGAACUUCAGCCGCAUGGCUAGGAGUUGGAAAGAAUUUCGGUCAAGGAUGGACUCGCGGCCUAUCAGCUAGUUGGUGAGGUAAUGGCCCACCAAGGCGACGACGGGUAGCCGGCCUGAGAGGGUGACCGGCCACACUGGGACUGAGACACGGCCCAGACUCCUACGGGAGGCAGCAGUGGGGAAUAUUGCACAAUGGGCGCAAGCCUGAUGCAGCAACGCCGCGUGAGGGACGACGGCCUUCGGGUUGUAAACCUCUUUUAGUAGGGAAGAAGGGAGCUUGCUCUUGACGGUACCUGCAGAAAAAGCACCGGCUAACUACGUGCCAGCAGCCGCGGUAAUACGUAGGGUGCAAGCGUUAUCCGGAAUUAUUGGGCGUAAAGAGCUCGUAGGCGGUUUGUCGCGUCUGCUGUGAAAACUGGGGGCUCAACCCCCAGCCUGCAGUGGGUACGGGCAGACUAGAGUGCGGUAGGGGAGAUUGGAAUUCCUGGUGUAGCGGUGGAAUGCGCAGAUAUCAGGAGGAACACCAAUGGCGAAGGCAGAUCUCUGGGCCGUAACUGACGCUGAGGAGCGAAAGCAUGGGGAGCGAACAGGAUUAGAUACCCUGGUAGUCCAUGCCGUAAACGUUGGGAACUAGAUGUAGGGUCCAUUCCACGGAUUCUGUGUCGCAGCUAACGCAUUAAGUUCCCCGCCUG